UUCUAUGAGCUUUUUCUGCAUCGGCUACAGCUUACCUGAACAUAAACUGCAGAUAUCAUGAACAUCAUCCAACAUGUGAAACCAGCUUUGGGCUCGUUUAACCCAAAUGGCAUUGCAGUUUUCAGACUAGUACUAGUAUACUAGUUCAGAGCUCAUGUGGCAAACUGAGCCUUAAUUCAGAUGUCAGGAGUUAAUUAACAAGAUGAAGCUGCUUCAUACAUCAUAAUAUU
rnacentral:lncRNA from 1 species